AGUGAACGCUGGCGGUAGGCCUAACACAUGCAAGUCGAACGGCAGCACAGUAAGAGCUUGCUCUUACGGGUGGCGAGUGGCGGACGGGUGAGGAGUACAUCGGAAUCUACUUUUUCGUGGGGGAUAACGUAGGGAAACUUACGCUAAUACCGCAUACGACCUACGGGUGAAAGCAGGGGAUCUUCGGACCUUGCGCGAUUGAAUGAGCCGAUGUCGGAUUAGCUAGUUGGCGGGGUAAAGGCCCACCAAGGCGACGAUCCGUAGCUGGUCUGAGAGGAUGAUCAGCCACACGGGAACUGAGACACGGUCCAGACUCCUACGGGAGGAAGCAGUGGGGAAUAUUGGACAAUGGGCGCAAGCCUGAUCAAGCCAUACCGCGUGGGUGAAGAAGGCCUUCGGGUUGUAAAGCCCUUUUGUUGGGAAAGAAAAGCAGCAGGUUAAUACCCCGCUGUUCUGACGGUACCCAAAGAAUAAGCACCGGCUAACUUCGUG
rnacentral:rRNA from 1 species